UACGUAGGGGGCUAGCGUUGUCCGGAUUUAUUGGGCGUAAAGAGCGUGUAGGCGGCCAGGUAGGUCUGCUGUGAAAACUCGAGGCUCAACCUCGAGACGUCGGCGGAAACCAUCUGGCUAGAGUCCGGAAGAGGAGAGUGGAAUUCCUGGUGUAGCGGUGGAAUGCGCAGAUAUCAGGAGGAACACCAAUAGCGAAGGCAGCUCGCUGGGACGGUAUUGACGCUAAGGCGCGAAAGCCAGGGGAGCAAACGGG
rnacentral:rRNA from 1 species